UUCACAGUUGCAGAGAAAAACAUCCGAGACAAGUUCAGGGCUCUCUGCUCGCACUGCAAUCUGAUUCUCUCUGGUUUAGCUGCUUUCUACAAAGGACAGCGACACACCCACGACCCCGACACACACACGACCUUGGCACACCCUCAACAGAUGUGGAUAUAUUUUUUGUAAUUAAUAUCUUUUGUAUUUUUUGAAUAAUUUAUUUUGUAUUUGUUUAGUGUAUAAUAUUUGAGUUUUGAGUCCUUUAGUUAGUAUCCUUGGUAUGUAAAUCUUGACAUCUAUUGUUAAGAUAUAUGUGUUUGUUCUUACUUUAUUUUUUAAUCUUGGUAUGUAAAUAAUUAUA